rnacentral:piRNA from 1 species
UCUGGAGUCUGACUUUUGUGCACA